AUGAACGCUGGCGGCGUGCCUAAUACAUGCAAGUCGAGCGAACAGAUCAGGAGCUUGCUCCUUUGACGUAGGGGCGGACGGGUGAGUAACACGUGGGUAACCUUCCCUUUACGUUGGGAUAACUUCCGGAAACCGGGGCUAAUACCGGAUAACAAUUCGUACCGCAUGGUUUUUAAAGGAAAGGUUGGUUUGUUUUUACUUUUAGAGGGGCCCCUGCCGUUUUUGGUAGUUGGGUAGGUUGCGGCCUACCUAGGCGACGAGCAGUUGGCGAGCUGAGAGGGUGAUCGGCCACACUGGAACUGAGACACGGUCCAGACUCCUACGGGAGGCAGCAGUAGGGAAUCUUCCGCAAUGGGCGAAAGCCUGACGGAGCAACGCCGCGUGAGUGAUGAAGGGUUUCGGCUCGUAAAACUCUGUUAUUAGGGAAGAACAAAUGUGUAAGUAACUGUGCACGUCUUGACGGUACCUAAUCAGAAAGCCACGGCUAACUACGUG
rnacentral:rRNA from 1 species